rnacentral:rRNA from 1 species
AGGAUGAACGCUGGCGGCGUGCCUAACACAUGCAAGUCGAACGUCCUGUCUCGCAAGAGGCAGGGAGUGGCGGACGGGUGAGUACCACGUGGGUCAUCUACCGUGAGGUGAGGAAUACCGGCGAGAAAUCGCCGACAAGACCGCAUAGGCUCGAUGCAAGUCGAGCAAAGCUCUUUCGAGAGAGGGAGCGCCACACGAGGAGCCUGCGCCCGAUUAGCUAGCUGGUGGAGUAACGGUUCACCAGGGCGACGAUCGGUAGCUGGUCUGAGAGGACGAUCAGCCACACUGGGAUUGAGAACGGCCCAGACUCCUACGGGGGCAGCAGUGAGGAAUUUUCGUCAAUGGGGGCAACCCUGAACGAGCAACGCCGCGUGCAGGAAGAGGUUUCGGAUCGUAAACUGCUUUUCUCGGGGAAGAGAACGGACGGUACCCGAGGAAUCAGCCCCGGCUAACUACGUGCCAGCAGCCGCGGU